AGGACAGGGUUUCCCGAGUGGAGCCAGAGGGAACAGAGGAGAACCUGCAUCCCUGAACCAGUGAAGAUGCUUCAUAAGCUCCUGCCAAAACUUUUCUUAUUUUGAUUAACAGCUGUUUAUCAGCCAUGAGCUCAGAGGGAAUGCAGUCCGGCUCCAGCUCAUCCUGUGUGAAGAUCUACCUGUGCUCCAACCCAGAGGACAGCGUGGUGGAGCGCAGAGCUCUGAGAGACACUGUGUUUCCCAGACUCAGGGAGCAAUGCAGACUGUCAACGGGGCUGGAGGUCAGGCUGAUAGAUCCCUUUGAGUCCACGGAUCCCGGUCGUUGGCCGGAUGAAAACACCAGACGGCAGCUCAUCAGGGACUGCAGAGAAAGCUCAGCCGGGCCUUUUCUACUGGCCCUGAUCGGUCACCGGUACGGCGCCGCCGGCCUGCCCGCCCGGGUGGAGGUGACGGAGUACCAGCUGCUGCUGCACCAGAGCCAGCAGGCGGGCGUCAGCACCCAGGAGCUGGAGGGGGAGUACCGGAGGGACGAGAACAGCAUCCCUGCCUCCUACCGCAGGACUCCCUCGUCCAGGCACACCUGCGCUCCUCCGGCGGCGGCUGAGGGAGGGGAGGGGGCGGCCAGAGAAAAGCAGCUGAGGAGGACGUUCCAGGAUGCUGUGAGUCUGAGUGUCCACGGCGGCCUGAUGAGUCCAGAGAGGGGGCGGAGCUUCUGCAGAUCAGCGCUUGACGCAGACCUGCGAUUCGCUCUGGACGACUGUCCUGAAGAAAACAUCUCUGGACGCUGCCUGAUCUACGUCAACAAGGUGGUCAAUGCCAGAGGAAGGCGAGCAAAACAGCAGCUGCAGCCACAUGCAGAGGCUUUGACCUUUGACUCUGAUGGCGAUCAGCUCUUGUCUGAGCUGUGUGAUUCCUUCCUCCCCGAGGCCGUCACCGCCCGCCAGCUUCUGGUUUACACCACCACCACGGAGUGCGACCCCCGCCACGGUUACACGACGACGCGGAGGCGGGGCUACGCCGAGUCCCUGUGCCAGCAGGCGCACUGCGACCUGCUGAGGCUGACUGACGGCCUGAACGUCCCAGAGGUCAGAGGUGACGCUUUGAGGAGGGAGCAGGCGGAGCAGGAGGAGCUGUGUGGCCUCCUGUCUGGACUGUAUGAGGUGAAGCAGCCAGAGGAGGAGCAGAUCAGAGCUUAUGUGGAGCAGAGAGACCAGCAGGGCCCUCUAGUGGUGACAGGAGGCCCCUGCACAGGGAAGACGGUGCUGCUGGCACAUUGCUCUCAGCAAAUAAAGUCGUGGUCCGCAGACAGCGAUCCUGUGGUGAUCUGUUAUCUUUGCAGCCUAUCAACCGACCCCUCCCCAAAACAUCUGCUGUCCAGCCUCUGCAGUCAGAUCGCUGACAGUUACCUCAGCUCUUCCUCCAGGCAGGAUCCCAGCGUCUGCCUCCACGCUAACCAGGAAGAUCCGAGCUGCUGCACCACGAACACCGGCCACCUCGGAUCCAGCUGCAGCUCCACAUCUGCCCUGCACUCCCACCAGGAGCCCUGUGUUCAUGGCCCUGGUCUGAACCAGUGGAACCAACCGUGUCUUGAACCAGAGGAACUCCACUGGAUUCUUCUGAAACCAGACAUUACUCUGUCUGAUAUCAAAGAUCUCCUCUCUUCUCUACUGAGCCUCCUGCCCUCAAAGAAUCGGCCUCUUGUGCUUCUCCUUGACGGAUUGGACCAGCUGGAAAACGGCUUUGGUCCUCAGAUCAUCGAGAGCCUCCCCUCCCCUCUGCCUCCGCAUGUCAGGCUCAUCCUCACAGCUUCAUGUUACCGAACACGCCUCCUGCACGCCAUCACACUGCACUACCUGCAGCACAGCGCGGGCGGCGAGGGGAAGUCCGUGUGCGAGCAUGUCCAGCUGGGACCGCUGGACAGAAAGCAGGGUGUGAAGAUGUUGGCGUCGCUGCUGGGAGGUUCAGGGAGGAGGGUAACCUCAGGACAACAGGCUCUGCUGAACCAGACGCUGAGUCGCUGUGGUCUCCCUCUCUAUGUUCGACUUCUGCACACACACACGUCGCUGUGGCGCUCUGAUUCAGAUGUGACCGACUCGUCUCUCCCUGACUGUGUCCAUUCAGCCAUUUCUGCUUUCUUGGACCUCCUCCAGCUCAAACAUGGCUCCUCUUUGGUGGAGCGGGCCGUCUCCAUCAUCACCCUGUCUCGGGCCGGGCUGACCGAGUCCGAGUUGGCAGAUUUGUUGUCCAGACACAGUGAAAGCAAGGUGACACAGGUUGACCUGGAGCAGCUCCUUCUGGAUCUGAAGGGCUUCCUGGUGAGGAGAACGGCUGCAGGGUCUCAGGUUCUACAGUGGAUGAGCCGCCACUUCAAACUGGUUGUGGCUAAAAGGUUUCUUGGCAGUGAGGAGGUGCGGAGGCAGAUUCACGUGGAGAUUGCAGAUUAUUUCAGUGGUCGCUGCGCUCACGGAGGCGACGAAUCAAACGGGAAAGAUGGAUUCAUUUCACACAUCAACAAACAUCCAUCUGGGAGACCGUUUGUCUUCACUGCGUUCAGCGAUGUUGUUCAGGUGAGCUUGAGGAGGGUUGUAGAACUGCCUCAUCACUUGAAGCAGAGCGGCAGGUGGGAGGAUUUGCAGUGCGGGUUGUUCGUGUCCUUCAGCUUUCACCAGGCGAUGGUUCAGGCUGGACUCCUGGCAGAGCUGGUGUCUGUGCUGGAGACCUGUGAGGACUCAGCUCAGGCUGAGUUUUUAAGAGAAAGGCUCCUCCUGGCAGGAAUAUUGAAGUCCUCUGCUUGCUUCCUGCAGAGUUCACCUCUGCAGCUGUGUGCAGUGAUGGAGUCAGGACUCCUCCCUUAUCUGGAGGUCUUUCCCACACUCAAGAGCUACGUCAGCGACAUCCGACUGGAGAGGAUACGGCGAGGAAGCGGGUUGGGAAUAUCACUUUCUCCCAGUCCUUCCUCUGUUCUCCCCAUCCAGCAUUUAAAGCACAGUAAUAAAACCAAAGACCAUUGUGUUACGGGAACUGCUGCUGCAGAGUUUGGGGUUGUGGUCGAGCUUUUAAGUGAUGGCACAGCUUGGGUUUGGAAAGGCUGCGGUUGUGCAGUAACUAAACUGUCGCUGAUGUGGGAGGAGACCGAGCUGAAGUUUGCAGGAGUGAAGAGCAGCGGUGGACUGAUCCUGCUGUCAACUCAAUGCCACAAACAUUUUGUGUGCCAUGCAGCAGGUCCAGAGAUGUUUCAGAUUAAAGCCCCGCUGAGACCAACGUCCGAAUCGAGCCAAACACUGAAUAAAGUCGAGGGAUUCGUCUCUUCUCAGAAAAAGUUGCUCAUGUGGUGGAAAGAUGAGAAUUUUGUGAGUGUGUUUGACACUGAGACUGAGAUCAUGACUUAUUUCCAGUGUCAGAGCAGUGUGACCUGCGUGGUUGUGUCCUCUGAUGGCUGUAGUGUGUACUGUGGGCAGGAGGGAGGCUCAGUGUCCAUAUUCGACACUGAAAGCAGCUCUCUGCUUGGCACCUGUUCAAACUCAAACCACGGUGUGGUCGCAUCAAUAAUCCUCAGUGAGGAUAGCCAGAAGAUGGCAUGUGUUGACAGGACGGGGAAUGUAGCCCUGUGGGAUGUGGCAGCCAAAACACAGCCGGCAAGGCUUGUUAAGGAAAUCUUCCAUCGGGGUAAAUCCAACAAAGUCCUCAGUACAGAUUAUUCUGCAGAAACCGACUCUCUGUUGCUGUGUGGAGCUGAACAGGUUAGUCUGUAUGAUACGUGCAGCUGGGAGCUGUGGGACCAGUUCUUGGCUCCACAUCAGAGAGCCUUCAGCCACGCCCUGCUCUCUCAGGAUGGCCACCUUUUGUUGGCUCUUUUGGAAAGCUGCACGCUGGUCCUGGUGUGGCGGAUCACCUCCGGGGAGUGUGUUCUCUCCUUAGAAACCAACAGGCAGCCACAUGCACUCCUCAAAACAGACACUGAUAUCAUUUGCGUAGCUCAGGACGGCUGCCUGACGGUGUGGGAUUCAGAGAUGAUCGCUGCUGCUGAAACGACUCCAAAAAUGAAGUGUGGAGUCAAAGCACUGAUGGUUGACCCCAAAGGGAAGUGGUUCUACUCCGCCGAUGGGUCAGAGCGGGUGUGGCGAUGGCGUUUAGACUCCAAACUCCCGCAUGCUUGCUUCCUGCACGGUGGCCCUGUGGACAAGCUGCAGCUUUCUCCAAACGGCGUCCACCUCGUGUCGCUCUCUGCAGGAGACAUCUACGUUUGGCAGACAGCCAGCGGCGACAACGUCGUGCGUAUCCGUGGCAGCAGGGCAACGGACAUCCUCAUCACGCCAAACAGUCACUUUGGAGUGAGCAUCUCUGAGCGGGGCCUCUCUCGGGUUUGGAGGUUGGCGCAGGGGAGUGUUGUGUGCAGCAUCCACCUGUACCUGUCCGACGCUCAGGUGUCACCCGAAGGAGCCUUCCUCAUCGGCCGCCGCCGCGGAGACCUGGUGGCCGCCAGUCUGUGGUCGGGCUCCAUCAGCAAGCGCUUCUCCUGCGUGGAAGGUUCGGAGCACGUCACGGCCUUCCACACGCUCACCCAGCACCCGGACUACGUGCUGGUGAUGGCCGCCUCGGGGGCGGUGUACACCUGGAAGGUAACCGAGGAAACGGCGUGCAGGCACUUCCAGCUGCCGCAGGCAUUUCUGUGUCGACCGCAAGACUUCCAGAUGUCCUCUGACUGCAGCUACGCUCUGCUGUCCACUGAUCACGGCACCAUCAACCUCUUGGACCUCUCUCAGGUCAGACUGUGCACUUUCAAAAGUGACGGUCCCAUCAUUAAAGCCUGUUUGGAUAAAAAGGGAAGUUUUGCCGUGUAUGUAUCACAACCAGCCAGCCUGGAGAAGAGCUGUACCUGUUUCCUGCACACAAGGCCGGUCCUGACCGCCAUCCGACUGUCUGACGGAGAAACAAUGGGCCGUGUGAGUCUGCCGAAGAACCCUCUCACUCUGGCCGUGUGUGGGCAGCUUGUGUUUGUGGGUUUGGAGGAUGGAUCCGUCGCUGUCUACUCUCUUUCCAGCGUCACCGUCAGUGAGAACCAGUUCAGGAGCAGGGGGGAUUUAAACAGUCAAGCCAAACAGUGUCCUUUUGAUAAAGACGUAACCUGCUGGUUCCCUCGAGUCACCGCCUCUGUUACAUGGCCUUAAGAUUCAUGGAGAGGGACUGAAUCUUAAAAAAUGACACGGAAAUCAGGUUCAAUAAAAUACAUUACAGGCUUUUCCAGGUGUAGCAGGAUGAGCUUGACGACUGUCAAAAUUUUUUCACAAAAGAAAAGAAAUUUCCAACAAAAUUUGUAGCAAAUAUUGUAUGAGCAGUUAAAACAGUAUUGUGAUGAAUAAAUCUCCAAAAAAAAAAAAAUCAUCUUUUCUUGUUUAUAGGUGGUUUUUCGGUUACAAACACAAGUGUAUUAUCACAUUCACUAUUAAUAUUCAGCAGAUCCCACUCAGUCAAAUAUUUAUUUCACAAUAAAA